GCUAAAUGGAAAAAGCCGGCAACAAGAAGACAAAUACUGUAGGGACUCCACUUAGGAGAGGUAAUCAGAAUAGUCAGACCCCAUAAGGACAGAAGGCAGAAUGGUGGUUACGGGGGCUGUUUCCUGGGUGAAGAGUGUCAGUUCUGCAAGACGAAAGCUCUGGAGAAGUGCUGCACAACAAUGUGCCAACAAUUAACAUUACUUAACUGUACAUUGUUUAAAAAAUAGGUGGAAAUAUGAAUCUGGAGUCAUGAGCCAGAGGCGCUCCCUACUCCCCCUCUGCACGAACUUGGUGGCUCACGCCCAGUCUCUGACCUCUGAACCCACCUUCCACUCUGCCAGUUGCCUGACUGAUGCGAAGAUGCCUCCUGUUGGAGGUACAGGGGCUCCCCAGGGAGCGGAUCAAGUUGACAGCUGAGCAGUCCACAACAUUCCAUCUGUCACUCCGCACAGCCCAUCACCUCGACUAUCUUGG